rnacentral:rRNA from 1 species
AAAGAAGUAGGUAGCUUAACCUUCGGGAGGGCGCUUACCACUUUGUGAUUCAUGACUGGGGUGAAGUCGUAACAAGGUAACCGUAGGGGAACCUGCGGUUGGAUCACCUCCUUACCAAGAAGAUGUGUGUUGCGUGAAGUGCUCACACAGAUUGUCUGAUGAA